AUUGAAUGCUGGCGGCAUGCUUUACACAUGCAAGUCGAACGGUAACAGGCCUUCGGGUGCUGACGAGUGGCGAACGGGUGAGUAAUGCAUCGGAACGUGCCCAGAGGUGGGGGAUAACGCAGCGAAAGCUGUGCUAAUACCGCAUGUGAUCUGAGGAUGAAAGCGGGGGACCAAGCAGCAAUGUUUGGCCUCGCGCCUCUGGAUCGGCCGAUGUCAGAUUAGGUAGUUGGUGGGGUAAAGGCCUACCAAGCCGACGAUCUGUAGCUGGUCUGAGAGGACGACCAGCCACACUGGGACUGAGACACGGCCCAGACUCCUACGGGAGGCAGCAGUGGGGAAUUUUGGACAAUGGGCGCAAGCCUGAUCCAGCAAUGCCGCGUGCGGGAAGAAGGCCUUCGGGUUGUAAACCGCUUUUGUACGGAACGAAAAGGCUCUGGCUAAUACCUGGGGCUGAUGACGGUACCGUAAGAAUAAGCACCGGCUAACUACGUG
rnacentral:rRNA from 1 species